GGACCCGCACAAGUAGUGGAGCAUGUGGUUUAAUUCGAAGAUACGCGCAGAACCUUACCAACACUUGACAUGUUCGUCGCGACUCUAAGAGAUUAGAGUUUUCGGUUCGGCCGGACGAAACACAGGUGCUGCAUGGCUGUCGUCAGCUCGUGUCGUGAGAUGUUGGGUUAAGUCCCGCAACGAGCGCAACCCUCACUUUUAGUUGCCAUCAUUAAGUUGGGCACUCUGAAAGAACUGCCAGUGAUAAGCUGGAGGAAGGUGGGGAUGACGUCAAGUCCUCAUGGCCCUUACGUGUUGGGCUACACACGUGCUACAAUGGUAUCUACAACAGGAAGCAAGACUGCGAAGUUAAGCAAAUCCCCAAAAGUUAUCUCAGUUCGGAUUGCACUCUGCAACUCGAGUGCAUGAAGUUGGAAUU
rnacentral:rRNA from 1 species